GGAAAUCCCAAUGAAGGCUUUUCUUCCCUGGCUACCUCUGCCUCUUGACCAACCUGUGCAUUCCUGUGUGGCCCUGUGCGGCAUGACAGGCCGUCUGCUCUCAGCAUCUGAUUUUUAAUUUUUUAAAAUAAUCACUCGUUCUUAUCUCCAUGAGGACCUUCAAGAAAUGGUUGAGAGAAGAGAAAGAUCCCCUAAAAUGCAUCCAGGGAUUUAUUGCCCAAAAUGAUGCUCAAGACCCGUCACAUCAGCAGAAGAACAAAACGGCUAUCUCCAAAUCAUGAGAGUGCAGGCCUGAUCUAUAUUAUCACAUGCCAGAUGACAUCAUAAUGACCCACCUUCCAAACUCUGAUUGUAACCCAUUAGUCAU